rnacentral:rRNA from 1 species
CCUGGCGGCCAUGGAGGAGGGGCCACACCCGUUCCCAUUCCGAACACGGCAGUUAAGCCCUCCAUCGCCAAUGAUACUGCGGAGGAGUCCGUGGGAAAGUAGGUCGCUGCCAGGG